GUGGAUACGGGGAUAUGGCACCAAGUUGGUCUGGAACUCUGUCAGAUCAACAUUGAGGGCGCCGUCGAAGCGAAGGGAAGCAGUGAUGGAGGACACGAUCUGACUGAUCAACCUGUUCAGGUUGGUGUAAGACGGACGCUCGAUAUCGAGGUUCCUACGGCAGAUAUCGUAGAUGGCCUCGUUAUCCACCAUGAAGGCACAGUCAGAGUGCUCCAGGGUGGUGUGGGUGGUCAGGAUGGCGUUGUAGGGCUCCACCACAGCGGUGGACACCUGAGGAGCUGGGUAGAUGGAGAACUCCAGCUUGGACUUCUUGCCGUAGUCAACAGACAGACGCUCCAUCAGCAGGGAGGUGAAA